rfam:Triticum aestivum genome assembly, contig: Triticum_aestivum_CS42_TGACv1_scaffold_094182_2AL
UACGUACUCCCUUAGUCCUGAGUUAGUUGUCUUAGAUUUGUCUAGAUACGAAUGAAUCUAGACACAUUUUAGUGUCAGGUACAUAUGCAUCUAGACAAAUCUAAAACAACUAAUUUGGGACGGAGGUAAUAUGUC